UUCCCCCCCAAAGCCCCAGGGCAUGGUGGUAUAUUCUAGUUCUAAGUCCUUCUAGUUUUUCUAUGUGAGCUGCCACCACAGCACGGCUACUGACGGAUGGGUGGUGUGGUUCCUGGGUGCGGGAUCCGGGCCCCUGAAGCAGAGUGUGCCCAACUUUAACCACUAGGCCAUCAGGGCCGGCUGGCUCUAGUUGGUUGUUUUUAUAAGAAAUGCAAUGAGCCUCUCCAAGGGACAGACUUCGCAAAAAAAAAAGAGGGGUUUUCCACCAAGUCUCUUUCAUUCUUAUUCCAAAUAAUACCAAGUGCUAAUCGGAUGUUGGUGGCACUGGCUGGUCAGCUCUCUGCUGACCAGCGCGUCUUUUUAGACUGCUUCGAAGCUUGUAACCGUGAAGUCCUCCCCCACCUCUCCUGCUACCUACUGUCCUAGAAGAAGUUGGAAGAGACACCCACCCACAAGUAGGACCAAGGCGGCUGCCACUGCCUCUCUUCUCUGCUGGAACUAUGGCCAAGUGACAAGCAGGUGGCAUUUCUCACAAGCAUGCACUGGGGCCUGACACGGGUUGUCUUUCUGAGCCCAACUCCCAGUCACCGUCACAGACCAAUUUGUGGGUUGGUUGUCCACUCCUGUCAGUCACGCUUGGUGGGGAUGCCCUGUGGGUCAGGUGGUCUACAUGGGUUCACGGGGAAGGGUCUCCAAGUCCUCCUUAAGGGGCCCUGGGCUGGAGUUGGACGGGGUACCAGGAGCAGAGAAAGAAAAGACAUGGGGAGGGUCUUCUGAUGGAUUUGGUGACUGCAGAUGAGGGAUGGUGACAGGUAGGAGGAGUCAGUGACCCUGGAAGGCAGGACAGGUGCCCAGUCGCACUUUCGAGGAGCACAGGCAGGAAGAGCAGGCGAAGGUGCCGUUGGAGAGGGAGGAGGAAGCCCAGCUGAGGGGCCAGAGUUGGCCCAAGAAACAGCUCGGUGAAAGCCAGCACCUCAGGACUGGAGAGGAUGGUGAUUAUAACACGGCUGUGUUCCCUCGAAGCCAUGCAUCCUCUAGCAGUCACAUGACUUCUCUAGGCCUCGGUUUUCCCCUCUGUGAAAUGGAGUCGGUAAUGACACCUCCCCCUUGGACUGUUGAGAGAGCUACAAGAACUUCAAGUGCAGCUCCUGCCUGGAGAGCGGCCUGACUGUGCGUGGGUUGAACACAUCAGUGGUCCUGCAGAGGGAGACAAAUUCUGGCUGUGGAAGCACCAAGGGCAGGUGCUGGACGGGGAGGGCGAGGAAAGUUCCCAGGGGGAGCGCUGGAGCCAGCUGAAGCGGUUUAUCUUUUCCAGGACUGAUUACGCUCAGAGAGACAGAAGGAGGCAGGUGCAGAGCAUUUCGGAAUGGUCAGGGGAUUCCAGGAAGAGGUGGCUAAAUCGGGUGGGUGGGCCGUGUGGCCCUGCCCUGGGGCCACUCCGUUGCAGACUGUAAUGUGCAAAGGAGGCUUUAGAGAGGCGGGGCUGGUGUUCCAGGCAAGCUGAGGUCUCUGCAGAUGGUGCUCCUGGGAGAAACAUCCCGGGGGUGCCGGGCCUGACACUGGGACUGCUGUCUGGAGGCGUGAAUGCAUACACGCUCUGGCUGGCCAGGGCCUACGACCCCAGAGCACGCGGGGAGCACGACCGACCGCCACCGUCCUUCCUGCCGCAGUGAGAACUCACAUUCAGCCUGGGAAAGGCAUGAACCCGUGGUGGGCCGGUGCCUCUUGGAAAAGGGAGCCCCUGGGGAGUAUGGACAUCCCGCUCUCAGUCACCGGGAAGUGCUGGGCCCCGGAGCCACAGAGGCAGGAAGGCAGGCCUCAGUCACUCAGCCAGUCCUGCCAGCUCUCCACCGAAACCAACCCAGCGUCUGAGCCCGCCACCGCCCGUCAGCUGCCACUCUGCCCUCGAGUGUGAUCCCACAAGAAUCACAGGAUGCUUCUUACUCUCUUACAGUCGGGAGAAUUAAGAUACGACACACAUGAAGUAAAACGCACCCUUGUGGAGCACAGCUCCGUGCGCUCUGACGAGGAGUCACCAUGGGACGCCCCCACGGUCAUGAGAACCUUCCAUCGCCCAGCGCUGCCCUCCCACUGCUCCGUAGUCAGCUCCUCCUUCCCCUUCCCGCCACGCUAAACCACUACCGGCCUGCUUUCUGUCACCUUGCGAGUUCUAGAAGUUUAUAUAAAUGGAAUCGCACAGCGCUCUUCUCCUGUGUCUGGCUCCUCCUACUUGAUAGAACGUUUCUGAGACUCACCCACAUCGUGCCUGCCAGUCCUUGAUCCUUUUAGCGCUGAGCAUCUUCCAUCGUACGGAAAUACCACAAUUUCCAUAACCCAUUCAGCAGCCAAUAGACAGGGCUGUUUCCAACUUCAUUCUAUUA
ensembl:lncRNA